CUUAUCUUAGCGGCGGACGGGUGAGUAAUGCUUAGGAAUCUGCCAUUUAGUGGGGGACAACAUUCCGAAAGGAAUGCUAAUACCGCAUACGUCCUACGGGAGAAAGCAGGGGAUCUUCNGNCCUUGCGCUAAAUGAUGAGCCUAAGUCGGAUUAGCUAGUUGGUGGGGUAAAGGCCUACCAAGGCGACGAUCUGUAGCGGGUCUGAGAGGAUGAUCCGCCACACUGGGACUGAGACACGGCCCAGACUCCUACGGGAGGCAGCAGUGGGGAAUAUUGGACAAUGGGCGGAAGCCUGAUCCAGCCAUGCCGCGUGUGUGAAGAAGGCCUUUUGGUUGUAAAGCACUUUAAGCGAGGAGGAGGCUACUAGUACUAAUACUACUGGAUAGUGGACGUUACUCGCAGAAUAAGCACCGGCUAACUCUGUGCCAGCAGCCGCGGUAAUACAGAGGGUGCGAGCGUUAAUCGGAUUUACUGGGCGUAAAGCGUGCGUAGGCGGCUUUUUAAGUCGGAUGUGAAAUCCCCGAGCUUAACUUGGGAAUUGCAUUCGAUACUGGGAAGCUAGAGUAUGGGAGAGGAUGGUAGAAUUCCAGGUGUAGCGGUGAAAUGCGUAGAGAUCUGGAGGAAUACCGAUGGCGAAGGCAGCCAUCUGGCCUAAUACUGACGCUGAGGUACGAAAGCAUGGGGAGCAAACAGGAUUAGAUACCCUGGUAGUCCAUGCCGUAAACGAUGUCUACUAGCCGUUGGGGCCUUUGAGGCUUUAGUGGCGCAGCUAACGCGAUAAGUAGACCGCCUGGGGAGUACGGUCGCAAGACU
rnacentral:rRNA from 1 species